UCCCCCCUGAUCUUAUCUGUAUUGUCACGACAGUGUUACAUUAAAAGGAUAUCUCCUACCGGAUGAAGAUUUUUUUAUUGGGUGCAUACAGAACAUCUCCUCCUAAAUAUAGUAACAUUUACUACUGAAUAUACAUCAGCUCCGAGGGAUCUCUUUGGCCCUAGUAGUAGGAUGGCUACCUGACAGAUUAACAUCGCAGGGGGUGGCUGAUCUUCGGGCCAUCUGUGAGAGACUUGUUCAUCGUGGCCUGCCAUCGACUGACAACGCGACCGCCAUACUGGUUCAGCUCAAGCACGCCGGAGGGCUUCAUGUCCUGACCGAGUCCGACAACGAGGACGACGGCGACGACAACGCCCCCCUGGACACCGUAGUGGAAGAUGAGGGGGGUCAAUCAGGGAAGAGCAGGCCCUGAUGGGCGAUGAGAUCAGGGAAGAUUUGCAAGAGAAGAAAGCUCCUGGGAUUUGCAAGUUUGCUACAGUGCUGGUUUUCUUUUUCCUCUUCCACAGCUUAGGAUGUACGCGUACUCUAGUAAUGCUGCAGCCUGGGUACGUUCCAGAGGAGAUUUUACUUGAGAGCCACUUGAAUUCACGCGCAUUUGUUUUUCAGAUCUUUGAACCCUGAAGAUGGUUAACCGAGUUAGUAAUGCACUUCGUAAAUUCGUCAUUCCGUUAAGAACUUGUAUGCGUUAACAUGCAGUAUGCUGUGUCUGAUCAUCUCCCAUGCCUGAAGUGCGUUUCGUAACGAAGCGAAGCUGGCAAUUGCCAGAAGGGAGUCUGAACUUUUCCUUACGGAUCGAUGAUCUGAACCUGAUACUGGGCUCGGACGACUGCCAGCAGCCGCUGGCCGACGGCACACGACAUCCUCUUGGCUCGAACAGACCACGUCUAUCGCAUCACCCUACAUUUUGCAAGCCCUCCUGCCCAUCGGGCAUUUCUAUCUUAUUAAUACAAAUCUGGCAGCUCUCCUGCCGGUUGCAUUAAAAAAAAAAACAUUUUGCAAGCCCGGCCGGGGACGCACGUUUGCAGAGCUGCGGAUCAGAUGGCCAUGCGGCAACGUGGAAAGGAAAGGGAGGAAAAGCUGCUUGCGAUCGCGUGAUGCACGGCGGUCAGAAUUGAGGCAGUACGAAUCCUACCUACGUGCAAUGGAAUUGCUCUGUUUGACAGACGUGGUAGGAUCUUGCUUGGUUUGACUAGAAUUAACCGGAUCUUAUUUGCACUUGCUCAAUUUAACCGAUGUUGUAGGGAAGAUUCGUUAUGUUUGUUCUCGUGAUUACGCAUAUUUUUUAUUUGUUCAUACUUGAUAGGUGGUGGAAAUGGCCAUGCUGGAUCUAUUGGGCAAGGGAUGUUGAAUCCUACAGAUUCUGACGCUUCCAUUUAGCUGUAUGUUUCUCUCUUCCAUAUGUUGACGCAGAAGCAAAAGAAAAGAUGCAUCUGAGGUAAUUGGCACAAUGGGAGCUGAGAUUUCUGUUUGCACAUUGCCUGAGCAAGUAACAUCUUAUUAUUUGGAUAUAAAGCAAAUGGAAUUUGUCCUUC